rnacentral:rRNA from 1 species
UACGUAGGGUGCAAGCGUUAAUCGGAAUUACUGGGCGUAAAGCGUGCGCAGGCGGCUUUGCAAGACAGAUGUGAAAUCCCCGGGCUUAACCUGGGAACUGCAUUUGUGACUGCAUGGCUGGAGUGCGGCAGAGGGUAGUGGAAUUCCCGGUGUAGUGGUGAAAUGCGUAGAUAUCGGGAGGGAAACACCAGUGGCGAAGGCGGACUACCUGGCCUGUUCUUGACGCUGAGGCGCGAAAGCUAGGGGAGCAAACGGG